rnacentral:misc_RNA from 1 species
GAUGAAGAACGCAGCGAAAUGCGAUAAGUAAUGUGAAUUGCAGAACUCAGUGAAUCAUCGAAUCUUUGAACGCACAUUGCGCCCUCUGGUAUUCCGGGGGGCAUGCCUGUUCGAGCGUCAUUAUAACCACUCAAGCUCUCGCUUGGUAUUGGAGUUCGCGAUCUCGCGGCUCCUAAAAUCAGUGGCGGUGCCUGUCGGCUCUACGCGUAGUAAUACUCCUCGCGAUUGAGUCCGGUAGGUUUACUUGCCAGCAACCCCCAAUUUUUACAGGUUGACCUCGGAUCAGGUAGGGAUACCCGCUGAACUUAAGCAUAUCAAUAAGCGGAGGA